rnacentral:rRNA from 1 species
GUUUGUUGUAAAUGGCGGCGUUAACGUGAGCGUCCUAAGGUAGCGCGAUAAUUUGCUUUUUAAUUGAAGGAUGGUAUGAAAGGGUUAACGAAGAAGAUGCUGUAUCUAAAAAUUUAAUUUAAACUAACUUUAAGGUGAAGAGGCCUUUAUGUAAAAGAAGGACGACAAGACCCUAUGAAGCUUUAUCUUAAUUGAAGGUUUUAGGCUUUUAUACGAUUUUGAUGGGAGAUCAGUAAAAAUAAGUCUUUUACUAUAACGUUAAUCUUACUAGAAUUUACUAAUUUUAUAUGUGUGAUUAGCUACUCUAGGGAUAACAGCGCAAUUUCCCCCGAAAGAUGGUAUUGGAGGGGAAGAUUGCGACCUCGAUGUUGGCUUUAG